CACAAACUCCAAUUGAAUGGGGAAAAUUGAUGAGAAAACUAUAUUACUUUUACAACUCCCCUUUGGUGACAUUUUUUUUCUCCGUUGUUUCAUAUAUGGCAAUGCUAGUGAUAUUCAGCAUAUUCGUAUUGACAGAUUUAUAUCCAAUGUCUGAGAAAUACCCGUCUGUUAAGGAGUGGAUUGUUUAUGUGUGGGCAGCAUCGACAUUGACAGAGGAAAUAAGACAGGCUGUUGUUAUCAAGCAAUUGUCGUUGAAUACAAUGACCUGGUUUACAUUUUGGAC